rnacentral:rRNA from 1 species
GGUGGAAAGUUUUUCGGUCAAGGAUGGACUCGCGGCCUAUCAGGUAGUUGGUGAGGUAAUGGCUCACCAAGCCGACGACGGGUAGCCGGCCUGAGAGGGUGACCGGCCACACUGGGACUGAGACACGGCCCAGACUCCUACGGGAGGCAGCAGUGGGGAAUAUUGCACAAUGGGCGAAAGCCUGAUGCAGCAACGCCGCGUGGGGGAUGACGGCCUUCGGGUUGUAAACCUCUUUUAGUAGGGAAGAAGGGCUUCGGCUUGACGGUACCUGCAGAAAAAGCACCGGCUAACUACGUGCCAGCAGCCGCGGUAAUACGUAGGGUGCAAGCGUUGUCCGGAAUUAUUGGGCGUAAAGAGCUCGUAGGCGGUUUGUCGCGUCUGCUGUGAAAACCCGAGGCUCAACCUCGGGCCUGCAGUGGGUACGGGCAGACUAGAGUGCGGUAGGGGAGAAUGGAAUUCCUGGUGUAGCGGUGGAAUGCGCAGAUAUCAGGAGGAACACCGAUGGCGAAGGCAGUUCUCUGGGCCGUUACUGACGCUGAGGAGCGAAAGCGUGGGGAGCGAACAGGAUUAGAUACCCUGGUAGUCCACGCCGUAAACGUUGGGAACUAGAUGUGGGGACCUUUCCACGGUCUCCGUGUCGCAGCUAACGCAUUAAGUUCCCCGCCUGGGGAGUACGGCCGCAAGGCUAAAACUCAAAGGAAUUGACGGGG